UUGAUAAACCAUCCUUUCUUCUUGCCUUUGCCCAUCUCGUCCUCUCAUUCUCCAUAUACAAGGAAAACACGGAUAAUGUCUUCCAUCUCGGAUCCGAUUUUUAGCCGGCAUGAUUGCGGAUUUGCCCGUGUUGCUCCAUCUUUGGAGAACGGCGGCGACGACGACGGCGGCGUUUAUGAUUAUGCUCCCGCGGCAUGAUGUUAGCCCAAAUCUAUAUAGCGUUUUGGCAAAGAGAAUGAUAUCAUGGGCCAGACUUGAAAAUCCUCUCUUUUUAGAUCAAGAUUACGUGGAAGUUUGUGCUCCUUAUCUCUUUAGGAAAAAGUGAUAAGUACACAAACGAAUUUACAUCGAUCGGCUUGUAAAAUACGCAUGCAAUACUCAACGUGAACUUCUCCCACAAAAUUGCAAUGGAGGUUGCUUUGCGAAAGGCUACAAUAUAGAGUCACCAUUGGCCGGCGAGUUCCUCGGUUUUAGGAUGCAAGAAGAACUGAAAGCGAGUUCCUCGGAUUUAGAUGCAUCAAUUCUAUAACACAUCUAUCUACGGUUCCAAAUUGAAGAAGAAGAUUACACAAACAUAGACAUAUCUCUCGAAUUAUUGGAAGUUUGAUUUUCGUUUGUCUUUUUUCUUAUUUAAUUUUCGUAAUUUUAUAUUUUUACAUGGUAUCAGGGUCUGAUUCGAUCUGCUCUAUAUAUAUCUUUUUCAAUCU